CCGGCCGUCGAAAUUGAGGAGCGAAUUACUGUCUACUGACAACUUGUGAGACCACCCCCACAACGCAACUCGGAAGAUUCAUGUGACCGCAUCCAAUAGAAGGAAGGAAACCAGGGAAUAUUCUCAGUUUUUGUCGGCAGUUGAAUUGGAGGGGUGAAUUUCUGUAUACGGACAACUUGUCAGACGAAGUCGGAAGAGCGUUGUGACUGCAUUCUUUGGAAGGAACAAAGACAGUGAAUAUUCCCAGGGUUUCAGUGGAGGGGCCGAUUACCGUCAACUUGUCAGAGCAGCCCAUGAACCUACAUGGAGCAGCGCUGCGAUUGCAUGCUGUAGAAGGAAGGCGGUGGAUAUGCUCGG